rnacentral:rRNA from 1 species
UACGUAGGGUGCAAGCGUUGUCCGGAUUUAUUGGGCGUAAAGAGCGUGUAGGCGGCCAGACAGGUCCGUUGUGAAAACUCGAGGCUCAACCUCGAGACGCCGAUGGAAACCGUCUGGCUAGAGUCCGGAAGAGGAGAAUGGAAUUCCCGGUGUAGCGGUGAAAUGCGCAGAUAUCGGGAAGAACACCCGUGGCGAAGGCGGUUCCUCUGGGACGGUACUGGACGCUGAGACGCGAAAGCGUGGGGAGCGAACAGG